rnacentral:rRNA from 1 species
GCGCGAAAACUUUACAAUGCUGGCAACAGCGAUAAGGGAACCUCGAGUGCCAGGUUACAAAUCUGGCUGUCGAGAUGCCUAAAAAGCAUUUCAUAGCAAGGGCCGGGCAAGACCGGUGCCAGCCGCCGCGGUAACACCGGCGGCUCGAGUGGUAACCGUUAUUAUUGGGUCUAAAGGGUCUGUAGCCGGCCGGAUAAGUCUCUUGAGAAAUCUGGCAGCUUAACUGUCAGGCUUUCAGGAGAUACUGUCUGGCUCGAGGCCGGGAGAGGUGAGAGGUACUUCAGGGGUAGGGGUGAAAUCUUGUAAUCCUUGAAGGACCACCAGUGGCGAAGGCGUCUCACAGAACGGACCUGACGGCAAGGGACGAAAGCUAGGGGCACGAACCG